CAAGAACUUUCUUUUCUGGGUCUUUAAUAGAUGUGGCUAGAACACCUGCAGGAUGUCUCUCAUGAUAAAGACUAUGGGCUCUGGAAUGGAAGCUUUCUUAUCCGCAAGGCUCUUGGGUUCAGGGUCCUAGCUUGUCUCUGUUAGAGUCUAAGGGGAAAUUAUGGCCAAGGUGGGGUAUGGGUAAUGAUUUGACUUACCUAGAACAUGCUAUUUUCUAUCUCUCUCUCAGGAUACCUUGCUGCUUUGAUGGAUUUCCUUGCUAUGUGUGUAGCAGCUGGUGGAGUUGUCCGGUGUGUUCUCCACAAGAAUUACUUCCUUGAAUGAUGGUUAGGAUUCAGCAGAAGGCAGGACCAGUGGUCUGGAGGGGAGGAGUUCUACUACUCCCAGGGCUUUUGUGUUCAGCUCUCUGUUUAGUGGCAUUUUGUAAGCAGUUCUCCAAAAUGAUUUCUGUCCUCAUUGAGCCUACAACAGCUAGGCAGGAAGAAGACGAUCGGAACGGCAUGGCCUAUUGAUGUUGUUGAUUGCAGAAAUGGAUCAAGGGCAGCCUGUGGCCUCCAGAAUGGAUCUUUCAUCAAACCUAAAUCUACACUGGUGUCAGGAGACAAUUAUUACAGAAAAAAAGAAUCUCCCCAAAGAAAGCUAUCAAAAGCAUGCAGACUGUAAAAUAUAUAGAAUUAAGAACAAAAUAUAAAUUGGGAGUUUGAAGAGCCAACAUCUUAAGAGCUGCUAAUUUUUAAACACUCUGUUACAUUUUUAGAUUUAUAUAUCUUGAAUUAUAUGCUACUAUAUAUUCUCAUAUAUACAAAUGAUGAGGCUAAAUAUAGGGCAUUAUAGCUGGGAACUAAAAGCUAAUCGUGCAUUAUGGGUUAGUGAAUGGCAGGCUUUGUGUAAGAAUGACAGAAAAUAAUCUGGAGAUCUUUCUGGUUGACAUGUGAAAUAUGAGUCAAUAGUAUAAUGUUAUAGUUAAUUUUUAAGGGGUGAUGCUGAAUGCAAAAAUAGGAUAACAGCAUAUUGGACUCAUGAGAUAAUGCUCUCAUUAUAUCCAGCAUUAGUCAAACCUUAAUGGAGUCCUGUGUCUUGUGAUGAAUGUAGACACAUCCAAAAGGAAGCAUCCAAAGUGAAAGCUCCCCCAGUUCAGUUCUUACUUCCACUUGCCUUGGUUAACUUCCUUGGGCCUUUGCUUGCAAGAGGAAAAGGGGUAGGAAGGGGGGAUAUUUUUCCUUCAAAAACCAUGCCCUCUGUUUUCUGCCUAUUCUCACUCCUUGAUAAUUAUCUCUCACCAUGUCCUCUACAGUAUAUCUAGAUCAGAGUCUAUUCUAAGGAAAAAAACAACAAAUAAAUUUGUUAAUCAAUGAAGCA
rnacentral:lncRNA from 1 species